AGCUCUGGUAGCUUAAUUAACUAAAGCACCG
rnacentral:tRNA from 1 species